CCUGGAAAUUGCAGAUUUUCUGUAUUAAAAUUUGCUCAACAACACUGAGAAGAUGAAUGUUCACCAUCAAUAUUGGCCAUGGGGAGGGAGACAUUGCCCUAAACUUCAGUGUCAAGUUUGACAGUAAAAGGGUCGUCAUGAAGACCCUGCAGGGUGGCAGCGGGAGCCAUGAGAAGGCGUUGGAUUCCUUCCCCUUUGAGAAGGGGCAGGUGUUCAAGCUGACUGGCACAACAUCUAUGGCAUUCCCCUGCCUAAUACCAGGAACAGGGUCCAGCCCACAGCCCCCCUGUAAAACUUGAAGACAUCACCAAAAAGACAACGCCGCCCAGGUAAAUGUAGUCUGGAGCCUGUCCCAGGAAAUGGAUCACAAGGGACAUGAAACACUUACUGAUGAAGAAAACGAGGCUCUUUAGGUCUGGAGACAAUAAAGAGAUUCAAGAGGUGAAGGUGGAAAUGAAGAUGCAGCUUAGCAAGGGGACAAAGCACAUCAGGGACAAGCUGGAGCACUAACUACAGUACAAGAGUGUGAAGGAGGUAUGGAUUGGGAUGAGAACCAUCAUCGGCUACAGGCAGGCUGGAUACAUUGUGUUUGAUGGGAGCGCAGACAGUGCUGAAGAGCUGAAUCUGUUUUUCAGCACAAUGCCUCUCACUGGUCAGUCUCCCCUUCCCUCCCUCAACACUUCCAGCCACAACUUGCCAGCUGGGGUGGGGGGUGUGGCUGCACAAGCCUGAGAUCCUGCUCAGUUGUUGCCUACAAAUAACCAUAAGUGCUCCCUGCCAUUAUGUUCACAUAUUAUGC